rnacentral:rRNA from 1 species
UACGUAGGGGGCAAGCGUUGUCCGGAAUUAUUGGGCGUAAAGAGCGCGUAGGCGGUCCGAUAAGUCGGCUGUGAAAGUCAGGGGCUCAACCCUUGGAAGCCGGCCGAUACUGUCGGACUAGAGUCCGGAAGAGGCGAGUGGAAUUCCCGGUGUAGCGGUGAAAUGCGCAGAUAUCGGGAGGAACACCAAUGGCGAAGGCAGCUCGCUGGGACGGUACUGACGCUGAGUGAGCGAAAGCCAGGGGAGCAAACGGG